rnacentral:rRNA from 1 species
UACGAAGGGGGCUAGCGUUGCUCGGAAUCACUGGGCGUAAAGCGCACGUAGGCGGCUUUCUAAGUCAGGGGGUGAAAUCCUGGAGCUCAACUCCAGAACUGCCUUUGAUACUGGAGAGCUCGAGUCCGGAAGAGGUGAGUGGAACUCCGAGUGUAGAGGUGAAAUUCGUAGAUAUUCGCAAGAACACCAGUGGCGAAGGCGGCUCACUGGCCCGGUACUGACGCUGACGGUGCGAAAGCGUGGGGAGCAACAGGGAUUAAGAA